GGACGGAGCUGGAAUGGUGCAUUUUAGCAGCCCUUUUUGGAUUAAGCCAUUACGGGCUGGACUGCUUGACCAUGCCAGCGUUCUGUAAUGAUUUUCAAAGCAGUGAAACCUUUUCCAGCGGAGGGGCCCUUGGUCCAUCCUUAGCAGCCCACAGCAUUUAUAUGAUGACAACAUAGCUCUGUGUGGAUGGUGGGAAGUGCUUUGCUGUUUGGCUUCUCCCCAGGCUAAAAUCACAACCCUGGUGAAGUAAGCAUGGUUAUUGCCACUGGCCGGAAUGAACACCAUGUUUUUACCUCAUCCUUCAGCUUCUGCAAAGACUGCUUCACUUGAAAGGAGACUUGGUUCAUCAAGGAGCUAAUUAAUGGCCAGGCUGCUGUGUGGGAGCCCAGGGCAACUCCUCCCUGGUGGGACCGGGCAGGGUGAGGGGAGCUCUGACAUCAGCCCUUCCGCCCUGAUUAGCUCUCCCUCAGCCUGCGCUAAUGAGCCUGAACUCUGACCCCCCAGGGAGAGGGGGCACCUGCCCCUUGGGCCUGAUACCGGGGGAAUCUGCCUGGGAAUGGCAGCCGGGUUAUCUGCCGGACUGACAGCCCGUGCUCUGCUUCCUUGCUGUCUUUAUUUGCGGUCAGGAUCAUAACACGGCCCAGCUGGUGAGGUGGGGGAGAGUGGCCGCUCUGGUUACUGGGUCACUGGUGCAGAUGUUCCAGCCUCCGCCAGGAACCAGCAAACAGCCCCCACGAACCCUUUCAGCACCCAUUGCUCAUCCCCAGCCUGGCUUUGAGAUGUUGCAGAGGAAGGAGGCGAUAAGCCAAGGAACAGAGACUGUCUUCAGUACCCUUCAGCUGAUUUAAACAUUCCUGAUGUGCAGGAGCGAGGAUCUGUGCCUGCCUUUCAUCCUCGCCCUCUCCAGGAAUUGCGAGCUACAGACACCAGUAGGAGCAAGCAGAGAAUUACGGAGGUGUGCUGUAGAUUCUCCAUCGCUUGAAGACUUUAACCCCAGGAGUUUUUUGCAAAGAUCUGCUACGGCUCACAGAGGAGCUAUGAGCUCCGUGUAGAAAGGAAUAUCCUGGAGGAAGACUCGCAGUGGAGGUGAAACGGCAGAUCAACACUGCGGCAGCAAGCUGAGGCUGCAGGGAAUGACUCAGGGGGGAAAUCAAAGGGAAGAUGACUUUGUUACCAACCCAGCUGCAACUUCCUGCUCUGGUUAGAAAAUACCCUAGGAGGUGACUUGCAUGCCUCUGCCUUGCCUUGCUUCCCCAUAAUAAAUGAAUAGUGAACUUGUAGGGCAAACACUGAAGGGCAAGGGAAAGGUGGAAUUCCCAGAAAUUAUCAUCAAUAAGUAAGCACAAAGACAGUCUCUGUCUUCCACCUCUCAGAUUCCUAUAAAAGGAGCUUUUCCGUGAGGGAGAGGGCUUUCCUCCACCACGCACAAGCUAUAAACCAACAACUCUGACCACUUGGCACUCCUGUCAGUUCGCAGCAACACCUCUGAGCUCAGGGGGUGACCCAGACCUCACCCGGGGUCAAUGAGCUGGCUUCCAUCGGGGAUGUGUUCUUUAUAGUUCCUCUUUCUGCUCCCCCAGCCUUUAGUCCUUCUGCUGCCCGAGCUCUUCCCGCCUGGGGGUUUUGCUCUACGUGACGUGCAGCUCGUGGCUCUUGCCACGCUGGAGGUUUUGCACUGAACCUUAUAUCAAGGAGGGCUGGCCACCCCGUCCUGGCAUAAUUGCUUACAUCUAAUGGGACCUUUUCCCAACUGCUGUGCCUUCAGACUCAAACAAACCCUGAAACCAGAAUGUGAAUGCCACAACAUUGCUAAAAAGACCAUUGCCAAUUUGUGUUUAUGGUGAAAAAUGGAAGCACAGGACCCGGCUCUUUUGGAGGGGCUGGAGGGAACACAGCCGGUGUUUUGACAAGCAGCUCAGAGGUUUCAGCUGAUAUGCUAUACAAGCAUAGGAGUUAUUUUGGAAGAACAAUGGUGACAUUUCAGUAUGAGCCACUGAUUUUCAGCAAAACAAUGACAUUCUGGAAGGGAAAUGCUUUAUCUUUCAAAAGGCGAAUUGUUCAGGUGCAGUGACAGAAGUGCCAGCAUGAAGCAGAUUACUUACAUUGGACUUAAUUUCAGUUGUUCGUGGGUGUACAAGACUUUGCUAUCUGGCAUGGCAAAGCCACCCUCUAUGUUAGAGUGGGUGUGAAACAGGGAACCUGGGGGAAGAAGUCAGUUGUGCCUCACCUAUAGAAGAAAACUGGAUCCUGUGGGCUCAAGGAACCUGCCCAAGGUGUGAUGCUAUUCAGUCUUCUGAUUAAGCACCAGGAUGCCCUAGCUCAGUGUAAAUUUUCUAGAUUUGCAGGUGAACAAGUGCGAGGUACUGCAAAAAUAACCUGUGGAUAAAUGGCAAGGAUGCAGAGCAACUGGACAGGUGGUGGUCCUUCACAAAAGAGUCUGAAGAUUAUGGCAGGCCACCAGCUGAAUCAUUGAUGAAAGAAAGGGUGCAGGGAUAAUGGUUUGGCCUCAGGAAGAGAAAACUGGAAAAGCAGAUGAGAGCAAUCUUCAAAAACUGCUGCAAAAGAGAGAGGGAAUGAUCAGUUCUCCACAUGCACGAUGGAGAAGAGGCGGCUUAAAUUUCACUGCAGAGGUUCAGACUGAAUUUUGCUGAAAGCUGCGAGGGGGGGGGGGGAAGAUAGCGAAGCAGGGCUACAGCCCCACUGCCAGCUUCUGCCUGCUGAAGGUCUCUGGCUGCUCAGAAGGAACAGCAGCAAAACAGAUCCUGCUGUGGGGCAGCUGGGAUCUGCUCCUCCCCAUGGCAGUAGCUCUGUUUUCAUGGGGACGAUGAUUUGUACCCAAAGUGUGUAGCAGAAACCCCGGCUCCAUUCCUCUGGGUGGCAAUAGUUUAUUCUUGCAACCAGGUAUUUUUUAAUUACCUUCCAGCGGUCUGUGCAGCCCUUCGCUUUGCCGUGAUUAUGUUACUGCUCCUAGACCCAGCGAAAGAGGAUAUGCGGUAACAAGUCAGAGCAGAGGAAGGCUUACGUUUCAGCUUACUUGUGUGCUAAUCUGCAUCCUCUUUUCCGAAAUCCUCUUAACCUCUGUGUUUUUUCAAUCACCUGUGUUUGCACCAAACAUUACUACAGCGGACAAAAAUUGAGCAACAGAAGAUACCUUAAUUUCCAGCCUGGUGAACUCCGCGAGCUAACUAACCCGCUAAGGUAUUUAUGAAUAGACUAAAUGGCAUGAUCUGCUGAUAAUUUGAUCUAAAAGUGUCUGGUCGCUGCUCUCUUUCUUGCCCCACCUAUUGUCUGGUCGAGCAUUGUAAUUUCAGGCUUUGCUCGAUGUACUCGUCUUUUGAGAAGACUGUGACCAAGUAAUCGAGGCUGUCAUCACAGCAGAACCUGGCUCAGGAGUCAAAAAUCUCCCCACUGGUCUUUUUUCAUUUCCUGGCUCAGCAUCAGGGGAAGAGAUUAUGUGAUCUGAUAGGUAAAAUUAUCCCAUCAGAGGUGAAUGUCCUAAUAAAAGGCUUUUGCAGGCCUGGUUGUGUGAUAUCCCUGAGAAGGCUACAUUCACUCGGAGCCCUUUAUUGAAGGGAAUGCUCAGUCCCUAUGGAAACCCCACAGGACAAAAGGUGAUUCUAGCUGCUAAAACACCGCAGCUACACACACACAGGUCAAGGAUGAAAAACUGUUGCAUUUUCCUGGUUGGGAAAACAAAAACAACAAAAAAAAGGGAACAACAACAAAACACCCCAAUGUUGGAUGCUUGGCACAAAAAUGAGAGCUGUAUUUUCCCAGCUGGUUAAAAUCUGGGAGACAAGCACUGUGUGGCCUGUUUGUCCAGAAAUUAGAGUAAAAAUGUAGAAGUCCUAGUUGUGUUUAGUGGGGAGAGUUAAUAGGGUUCAAUGAAUCUGCAGAAAGAAAAAUAGAAAUCUUUCUGGGAGUCCGUCUUCAAGACCCCUGUCUGGGUCUCGAAGGAGGAAAAGGGGAGAAGGAGCUCGGUGGUUGUGCCGAGAGGCCGUAGGCUGUGGGGCAGCAGAGCUGUGGGUGAGCUCAACCCUGGUGUGGUGAUGGCACACUGAGCCCUGCCAUGCCCUUCAUCACCCCAAACCCCCCGACCUCAAACCAAGGAGAGCCCUCUGCAAGGGUCUGGAUUUGUUCCUGCGUCUUGGGUAGACGGGGGGGGGGAGAUAAAGGCGAGCACGUCGCACAGCUGAAAAGUGUGUUUUCAAUUAAAAGAAGAAAAAGCUCCAAAACGCACAGUGGGUUAAGCAUUACAGUAAAAAGCAUUCGAGCUGCUCUUCCAUUGAGAUGUAACCAACAGUUUAUGUGUGUGAUUGCAGGCAGGUGGUUCCUGUUCGUAUUAAAAAUGAGUAAUCCAAGCUCUCGGAGGAUUUCUUCAGAGACAAUCUGGACAGACCUGGAAGUCCAACGUGCCUUUUAAGCCCUAAGUGUUUUCCCUCCACAUCCCAGAGUUCUCCUUUCCAAGCACUUGGCCAGCAGAGAGGGAUCAUCUCACUCCCCCAUCAGGGAGGGAAAAACCUGGUACCAUAAAUCCAGAGCCCCCCCGUGCCCCAAAGCCUCCAGGCCCCCAGCUUCCCAUCAGAGCCUUGCUGCGCCGUGGGGCCACCCCGGCUCAGAGGGGAUUGCUUGGGGUGGUGAGCUCCGGGAAUGGUGAGCACCAGGCACAGGUGGCAUGGGGAUGCUCCUCAGGUGCCCUCUGUUGUCCCUGCUUGGCUCCAGAAACACAAGAUCUCCUCUGACGGUGGCGUGGCUGUGGCUCCCCUCUGCUUUUGGGUACGGUUGUUUGGAGAUUCUCACCCCCAAAGCGCCCACCCCUCUCCCUAUCACACAAAGGAGAAGAAAAAAAAAAACUAAUAAUAUUUUAGAAGAAGGCCUGAAGGCUGCAUUGCCGUUUAACUCGAUCGCCCGGGGGAAUAAAGGAAUACCACAUGCAGAGAUCUUUUACUUAACAUUGCGAUGUUUAAUCUUGCCCAGUCAGCAGUUUUUGAACAUAUUCCAGGAAAGCUUUUAAGCCUGAUAAAGCCGGGGCUUUUGCAUUUUCAAGUGAUACUUUAGCUACAGAUGACAUGCUCUACUUGUCAUUUGGCUUUAAAGGAAGGUAAUUAAAAUCUUCCUAAGAGUACGGUUACACCGGGGAAAGAAAUAACAUAAACUAAAAUAAAGAGAGAGAGAGAAGCCCACAAAAAUGCAAUUUAGCAGAUGAAAAAUGUAAAGAAAAACUGUUAAAAGAUAAAAGUAUCAAAUGCACAAUAGCAGUUUGCCGAAGGAGGACUAAUGAUAUGGGAGGUACUGCGACUUGCACAGGGAGAGCAUGGGCAAGGCUAGGGAAUUUCCAGCACAUAUUAAUUGCAAUUUUUAGGGCCACUGGAAGCCACAAGACAGACUUGCAGAAGGCUGGAAGCUCCACGGCAGUCCUGGCCGUGAAAGACAUGCUCCGUUCGGCAAGGUGUGAAGAGGAGAUAAAAGACAAAUCGAGAUUUGGUCCCCUGCCCCUCUCUGGGUGGGUGCAAGCGAAGCUUUUCAGCAGCCUGGGGGGGGUUCAGUGACCCUCCGUGAUGACUACCCACAACCAGUCAGGUUGGGCUCCAAACCAUCAUCCUUUCUGGGGCUUGGAACAGGGGGCGAAGCCAGGUGAAGACAAGGAUGCUGGUGAAGCCAUGAGACCGUUUCCCUGGUGAAGGAAAGGGUCCAUACCUGCAAAGCGGCUCCCCAAAUCCAUGCUGGGAAGUGAGAACCAUUGGGAAGCACAGCCUUGGCAUAAGGGUGGUGGGAGGGGGACAGCAGCUCCAGCCCCCAGCGCACAUCUCAGCACCUUUCUCCCCAAAAGCACCAUAGCAGGAUCCCCUUCCCUUCUCCUUCAGGAACGCCUCACACUGUCCUGUCAUUGCUAGUUUUGAUCUGUGGGGAGGAAAAGCAGCAUGGCUGAGGUGCAUCAUUCCCAAAGACCCUCACUGCUCCCGAACAGCUGGGAUAGUUCAGAGACCUUCCAGCGUAAAAACGGGGAAAUGAAAUUUUCUCCUAGGAUCACAUCAAGCCCGCAUCAUUCAACAGCCUCUGGCAUGCUCAGCCGUCGGGAGAGGCCCGCUGAAGAGUUCAGCAAACACAGACACUAUCCAUCUCUCUGGGAUCAGAUGUAAAAUAGAGAUCCUGUUUGUUCGGGUCGUGCUCUGAUACCAGAGCGGACGGAGCAGCUGGUGGCUUGGAGCCUGGAACUUCCCUUGUGAUGCCAGGUUCCCCCGAGCCACGUAUUUAUUAGUAUCAUUUGAUGCUAUAAAAUUGGUAAUCUUUCUGCAUGUUCACUGCAUGUAUUAGUUUUUCUCUGUUACUUAUUAUCAUUCCCUCUUGCCUCUAUCUUCCUCCCUGCUCUGAAGAGGCACAAAUGCCAGCUGAGAAGACAGGCAAACUUUGUCCUUGGAGAGAAGAGCAGGAGAAAGACUGUUUCAACAAGCCCAACUGCAAUACACACAUUUUUUAUGGUGAAGAUACCUGUCUGUGCCCAGAACAGACCUUUAUCUAUAUUAAUAUAAGGCAGUAGGUGCUGUACCCAUGGGCUGUGCUUGGAUCCAUUAUCCAAAAGCCAUGCAUUGGUAGGUGAACAGCUGGUCUCUCAUUUUUGUGAAACCCCACAGGACCUUUUCAAGGAUAGGUGUGUUGUUCUGGUGGGAAGUCAAGGUGUUGAGAUGCUCUGGACUGAAUCCAUCCCCGUGCAGACGCACUCCUAGCUCGAUGCAUGGCAGCUGCGGCAUGGGGAUGGAACCUGCCCCCUCGGGGUGGAGAUGCCACCAUCAAAGGCAGCUCAGGUUUUCCCCUUUCUCCACCAAAUACCCACCUCUGGCUCCAGAUGGAGUCGUCUCUGGGGCUACAUCUAACAAAAAUUCCUCCCUGACCUAGAAAUCUUCAGAGGACUUGAA